rnacentral:rRNA from 1 species
GGGUGCGAUCAUACCAGUGUUAAUGAACCGGAUCCCAUUAGAACUCCCUAGUUAAACACGUUUGGGAUAGAGUAGUACUGGGAUGGGUGACCUCCUGGGAAGUCCUAGUGUUGCACCCU